rnacentral:rRNA from 1 species
CGGGUGCGGAACACGUACGCAACCUUCCCAAAACUGAUGAAUAGCCUUCCGAAAGGAAGAUUAAUACAUCGUAAGAUAAUGAGGUGGCAUCACUUUAUUAUUAUAGCUCCGGCGGUUUUGGAUGGGCGUGCGCCUGAUUAGGUAGUUGGCGGGGUAACGGCCCACCAAGCCUUCGAUCAGUAACUGGUGUGAGAGCACGACCAGUCACACGGGCACUGAGACACGGGCCCG